UUUUUUUUAAUAAACUUCCUAUUCUGAUGUCACAGUAAGUCACAUGACCCACUGUGGGCCAAUAAUACUGUGGAGUGAGAGAGUGAGACAGAGAGAGUGAAAGAGAGACAGAGAGAGACAUACAGAGAGGAAGACAGCAGGAGAGAGAGAGAGAGAAAGGGUAAAUGUGUUGUUUUGGUUUCGGUCCAGAUUGUUAAUGCGGCUCGCUUCUGAUUGAUGGAGUGUCAGUGGUUUGGUUUCUCAUCGCUGUGAGAUGAAUCGAUAAUACACACACACACACACACACACACAUACACGCACUGGAGAAAACAGAGGAAUAUCGGAUUAUGACCUCUUGUAAUCCGACAUUCCUUAUUUUCACUGUGAUGACACCGGAGUGUGAUGUUACACCUGUCCACCACAACAGUCACGUAUGAGCAGAUCCAGAGCAACUUCCACGAUGUGCAAAGGCGGUUCCGAAAUAUAUAUAUCUGAACAUAUUAGAGCUUUGUGAUUGGAAUUCGAGACACGAGUCGACUGGAGGAUCGGAGAGAUUACAGAGAAGAACAUGCCGUGAUGGUGAUGAUGAUGAUGGUGAUGAAGUCCCGAGUGCAGGAUUAUAGAGAUGGAGCAGAGCAUUUUGACGUCUGCAUUGCGAGGAGACACGGUUCUGUUCGAUCCUCCGCCUGUUCGAGUAAGCCUGAGACCCGAACUGUUCCUCGAUUUGAGAAACACAGAGGAGCUGAAUGGAGAUCAAAUUUGCCAGGCGGAUAAACCAGACGAGUUCACUUCCUGUAACUGUUAAUUAGUAAGGAUUCGUUGAUUAAAUUUUUUCAGAUCAGGUAAAGGAGCAGAUCUGAAGGGCUCACAAGCAUCGAGUGUUGUGGUGAACUGGGAUGUUUGGAUACUGUCACCCCCCCCCCCCCCCCCCCUCCCUCCACACUUUCGUGCAUUCACCUAGGAUUGUUGAUGGUGGAGCUAGUCUUUUCGGAGUCCCUGCUUGCACUCUGCACACAAUGUACAUUGUCCUUAACCGUUACGGGGCAAUGAACAUACCUAAUAAUCUCUCUCUCUCUCUCUCUCUCGCGUGUGCGACACGAUACUCCUGAAAUAACAACGAUCCUGGCUCUCUGGGCCAGCCCGAUCCAUCCUGAUGCCCUACUUCACAUUGGAGUUCUCAUCACUUGGAAAUCACUCGCUACUGCUGAGGAUGGCCCCACAUGGUGCAGCCUAAAGGUACAUGAGAUUACUGAGGAUGGUACCACUUAGAAACCAUGAAGAUGGCUUUGGAGUGAAGCACACUGAACGAAGUGUGUUGGGUGAGACGUGUUGGAUAAAGCACGUUGGAUGAAGUGUUCAAUGAAACAUCGAUACAUGCUGGAUCAAUCAUGUUGGUUGAGGUGUGCUGGGUGAAGCAUGUCAGAUGAGACAAGCUGGAAAAAGUGUCUUGGAUGAGGCAUGGGGAAUGAAACCUGUUGGAUGACGCUUAUUGGAUGAAGCAUGGUGAAUGAAGUGGGUUGGACAAAGCAUGUUGGAUGAAGCAUGUUUAUGGUGGUGUGGAUAAUAAGACAAUGUUAUAAAG
ensembl:lncRNA